AUGGCGCUGGAGCUCGCGCAGCGCGGCCUCAACCUCGUGCCAGUCGGCCGCGACCCCGCCAUGCUCCAGGACAUCUCCGAGACCGUCUCCCGAACGCACGGCGUGCUGGCCAAGACCGUGCAGUUCGACUUCUCCCUCGUCUCCACUCCUCGAGGGGAUGAGGCGAUGGGGCGGCUCCGGGAGGCGGUGGCAGGGCUGGACGUCGGAGUCCUGGUGAACAACGCCGGGGUGGCCAAGCCGGGCGUGGUGUACCUGCACGAGGUCGACACGGAGGCGUGGGUGAGCAUGAUACGGGUGAACCUAUGGGCCAUGACGGAGGUGACGGCGGCUGUGCUCCCCGGGAUGAUGGACCGGGAGAGGGGCGCCGUCGUCAACAUCGGCUCCGGCUCCACGUUUGCGCUACCCUCCUUAUCGUUCUACUCCGUCUACGCCUCCACCAAACCGUACGUUGCUCAGUUCUCCAUGAACCUUUACGUUGAGUACAGAGGCAAAGGUAUCGAUGUGCAGUGUUAG
rnacentral:rRNA from 1 species